CUGCUCUCCAGCAAUAAGAUCCAUGACGACACGCUUGAUGCUUCCGUUGUUCUUCUUAAGCAGCUUCUUGUUCAUUUCCUUGUUACAGAAACCCAUAUCCUUCAGCUCUUCAAGGAUAGGAUCCCACUCAGCAACACCACAGAGAUCAUCAACUGACUGCUCCAAAUCAUACUCAUUCUUCCUCAAGAUCUCUUUAUUCAGAUCUACCUGCUUGAAACCCAUUUCCUCCAGCUCCUGCAGGAGGGACGUCUCAACUUCAAAAUUUCCUCUGGCAUCCUGGAGUGGUGGUGCCUGCAUAGCUACAACAGCUGAUGGUUGCAUGGAAGAGUCCUCCGAUGGUGGUUCCUUGGUUAAAUCAAUAAUUGGAUAUGAAAUUGUUGAACCAGAAGCAGAUGGAGAACUUGACUUGUCACCAAAACCAACCAACAAGCUAUCAUUAAUUGGAAACUUGACCUCCUGCUCCAUGUUUUGGUUUACUUCAGCCACUGAAUCAACCAACUCCAUUGUGUUCGAGCUCUUAGGCUCAGGAACGACAUUAUGAGGUUCUGAAUUCACAUUUAUAAUAUCAGCUCCAGAUACACCACUGCUGGCAGGAGGUAAAUUCAAGUUUAACCCCUGAAAAGCUUCAUGGACCAACCCCCUUUUUGGAAGGCUUAAUAAAGCAUCAACCUGGAUAAGCACCCAUACACGCUGGCCAAAUUUCUGUCCUGAAGGUGAAGCCAACCUCCAGUAGGAUAUGUACCUGCCAGGAUGCUCAGGAGCAGCAAAAUCAACCGCCACAUCAAGCUCCUGGUCAACAGCCAAGCCAGCUGUAGUCAUCUCUAAUUCAACAGAGAAUCUAUCACUUAAUUUAUCACCGCCAAUCCAAACCAGUUGAGUUCCUUGAGGCCAAACGAGAUUACCAUUGUUCUUCAUUCUCCAGAUCUUGGUAAAUUGAGUCAAGGGGGCCAUGAUGGUUCCAUCCAGGACAUUGACAUCCUGUAUGAAGCGGCUGUCAAGCUUCGGCCGACCUGCUUUCAACCCAAAGCCUCGAAUGACUUGUGGGACAGUUGGGGGACGGGGACGCAACCUCCCAUGCAGAUCAUGUAAACCCUUGAAAGACCAGGGAUGCGGGUAAGUUAGAGGACGAUCCAUUCUGAAGUAAUCAGCAUCAUUUCCCAUUUCAGCAAAACAUAUGCUGCAGAGAUCGUAGUUCUCCUUCACUUUAGAUAUGAACCUAGGUCCAGUUAUCGGAUGAACCCCACAACCAUCACAGCGAACACCUUUAUGGAAAAUAGUCCCAGUCCCAUCACUGUGAUUAUGGCUCCUUUUAAGUGGGACCUCAAAAGAGAAGUUCUGAGGUGGAAUAGGGUUAUUUUCUGUUGGCAUCCCAGAAAACGGACACGCAUUCACAGGAAUCAGUGGACCUAGAUGACGUACAGCAGGUAUGUAGCCAUCAUACGGCAUCUUCAUUGAACUGCCACUGGAACCUGCAUUAUGGGAAUCAUUAACAUUUACAGUGUUCAGAUGAACUACAUGUGAAGGGGUGAAGCCAUCAUAAGGUAUGUUGAUUAAACUGCCACUGGAAUCUGCAUUAAGGGAAUCCCAGUUGCAUUGUUUCACAUUACUGGAACUUGCAGAGCCACCCAAAUCAACCGGCUUAGCUACAGGAUGUCCCUUGCUGGGCUGCUCAUCAGAAGUCUUUUCUGGUGGAAUAGGUGAGUUUCUCGCAUAUCCAUAGCCAAUAGUCCUUCCGUCAAGACUGCGAACAUCAAAUUUCUUAUCCUUCUGAGCUUUAGAAGCUUCGAAUGAUGAUGACUGAGCCUUGGUUCGAUCACCUUCCAAAGUUUCUGAUUUAGAUACUAGCUUGACUGAGGCAUCUACAGCUGCAUUGGAGGCAUUAGGUUUUGGUUCUGUAGUCUUCAAAGUUGGCUCCUCACCAUGUACUGCUGUGAGAGGCCCAUUCUUCUUUGCGGAUGACUCUCCAAUUUUGACAUUCGGCAUUACCCCAUCAGCACUCAUAGCAUUUCCUUUAGAUAUGCCACUACAGGAGCCAGCUUCUUUGACAGGCUGAGGCCCUGAAACCUGAUUUUGGUAGUGAGAUAGCCCCAACUCACACAUAGCAUCAACAAGCUCAGCUAGGAUGGGAGCAGAGGAUGAGGCUGAUGCAGUCACAUCAGAACAGACCUUCAUCACAGAUUCACGCAGGGGUUCUGGAAUGUACUUGAGAACGUCAGAAACACGGGAAUUCAAGUUUAGAAAUGGAGGCUGAACCCGAGGUGAUCGUAAAGGGGUAGAAUUUCCACUAGAUCUAGCUGAAGCUCUGCCGCUUCUUUCAGCAGCAUUCAACCUCGCUGAUAUUCUCAAGGGAUUCAGGUCUUGCCUCACAACGUCCUGCAGAUCCGCAUCAUCAACAAGUGUGACUACAUCUCCAUCCUCAUCGAUAUAUGUUAGUGUGAUUUCAGCAUCAUGAGCGAAAUUGAAAAGUCGAAUAAUCUUGUCUCUCAAUCCACCAAUGUCAAGAUCAAGUUUCUCAUUGAUGACACAAGCAUUGAACCGUCUGAGUGUCUCUUCAUACUUGACCUUGAUCACAAUAGAUGACUCCAUAGCCAUGGCUAGGUAGAGUGAGAUUUCAGUAUACAAUCGAGUAGAGAUUAUCGUUCCAGGUAAGCCCGCAGAACCUUUUUAAGUAGGAAAUCAGUAAAUAGAUACGAUAUAAAACAGAUGAUAACAAAAACCUAGCCCUAGAAAUUGAGAAAGAACAGUUCAAGCGACAAAAACGGUGAAACAGAAGCAGAUGAAGAAGAGAGUAAUCUCACGCAAUGAAUACACGCGUAACCGUAAGCCGCGCUUCUCUCACUGGAAAAACCCCUAAACUUCUGAAUACAGAGAGAGCCGCAGAGUUUGCGCAGGAAGAAGCUCUCAUCCAGAGCGAAAAUGACUUUCAAGCGAAGGAACGGAGGUCGUAACAAGCAUGGACGU
rnacentral:misc_RNA from 1 species